CACGAUUAAAACUCAAAUGAAUUGACGGGGACCCGCACAACACGUGGAGCAUGUCGUUUAAUUUGAUGCAACGCGAAAAACCUUACCACUCCUUGUCAUGGAAUUUAUACCUAUUCGAAGGGAUAGGGUGGUUUCGUCGGGGUUUCACACAGGUGUUGCAUGGCGGUGGUCAGCUCGUGUCUUGAGAUGUUGGGUUAAGUCUCCGCAACGAGCGCAACCCUCAUCUCUUAGUUACCAUCAGGUAAUGUUGGGGACUUUAAGGAAACUGCCAGUGAUAAACUGGAGGAAGGUGGGGAUGAUGUCAAGUCAUCAUGGCCCUUAUGGAGUGGGCUACACACGUGCUACAAUGGUGGGUACAAUGGGUUGCAAAGUCGCGAGGGUAAGCUAAUCCCUUAAAAGCCAUCUCAGUUCGGAUUGUAGUCUGCAACUCGAGUGCAUGAAGUUGGAAUCGCUAGUAAUCGUGGAUCAGCACGCCGCGGUGAAUACGUUCUCGGGUCUUGUACACACUGCCCGUCACGCCAUGGGAAUUGGUUUCACUCGAAGUUAAUGACGUAACCGUCGGGGACGGAGCUCUUUAAAGUGGGAUCGGUGAUUGGGGUGAAGUCGUAACAAGGUAGCAGUAGGAGAAUCUGCGGCUGGAU
rnacentral:rRNA from 1 species